GAUGAACGCUAGCUACAGGCUUAACACAUGCAAGUCGCGGGGCAGCAUGGGGGUUGCUUGCAAUCCCCGAUGGCGACCGGCGCACGGGUGAGUAACGCGUAUCCAACCUGCCCUUCACCACGGGAUAACCCGGCGAAAGUCGGACUAAUACCGUAUGUUGUCCAUUGACGGCAUCCGAUUUGGACGAAAGGCUUGGCGGUGAGGGAUGGGGAUGCGUCCGAUUAGCCAGACGGCGGGGUAACGGCCCACCGUGGCUACGAUCGGUAGGGGUUCUGAGAGGAAGGUCCCCCACACUGGAACCGAGACACGGUCCAGACUCCUACGGGAGGCAGCAGUGAGGAAUAUUGGUCAAUGGGCGUAAGCCUGAACCAGCCAAGUAGCGUGCAGGAUGACGGCCCUAUGGGUUGUAAACUGCUUUUAUGCGGGGAUAAAGUGGCCCACGUGUGGGCUUUUGCAGGUACCGCAUGAAUAAGGACCGGCUAAUUCCGUG
rnacentral:rRNA from 1 species